rnacentral:tmRNA from 1 species
GGGGAUGAUCGGUUUCGACAUUGCUGGUGAGUCGGAGAGAAGCGGGUCGAGAACGCAGGGUUGUCUCGUUAACGCCCCCUGCAUACCAAUAGGUGCCAAUACAAAGCGCGCCGACUUCGCCCUCGCUGCCUAGUAGCUAGCGAGCCCGGAGUCCGUCAGACCACGUGAGCCUUCAGCGUGGACCCUGGCGUCAUGGAGAAGGCUUGCUGGAUGACGGUGUGUCAGCGUCAUUCGGGACUUUUUCUGACACUGGGCCUGUCGUUCACGGUGCGUGUGCCGAAUGAACGGGGUCGAGAGACACGACAUCGCACGCUACACCCGUAGAAGUCUUCGUCCGUGAGCAGUGGACGGGGGUUCAAUUCCCCCCAUCUCCACGA